rnacentral:rRNA from 1 species
UGCAUGUCUCAGUACUCGCCCUAGCAAGGCGAAACCGCGAAUGGCUCAUUAAAUCGGUCGUGGUUCCUUAGAUCGUACACUCUUACUUGGAUAACUGUGGUAAUUCUAGAGCUAAUACAUGCAACUGAGCCCUCGAGUGGCCCUGUGCUGCGCGAGGGUGCUUUUAUUAGACCAAGACCAAACGGGCUUGCCCGAUAGUCGGUGGUGACUCUGGAUAACUAUGGCGGAUCGCACGGUCUUCGCACCGGCGACGCAUCUUUCAAGUGUCCGCCUUAUCAACUGUCGAUGGUAGGUUAUGCGCCUACCAUGGUUGUAACGGGUAACGGGGAAUCAGGGUUCGAUUCCGGAGAGGGAGCCUGAGAAACGGCUACUACAUCCAAGGAAGGCAGCAGGCGCGCAAAUUACCCACUCCCGGCACGGGGAGGUAGUGACGAAAAAUAACAAUACGGGACUCUUACGAGGCUCCGUAAUUGGAAUGAGUACAGUCCAAACCCAAUAACGAGGACCUAUUAGAGGACAAGUCUGGUGCCAGCACCCGCGGUAACACCAGCUCUAAUAGCGUAUAUUAAAGUUGUUGCGGUUAAAAAGCUCGUAGUUGUAUCUCAGUCGUGUUUCCAGCGAUACGUUGCAAAGCGUUCAUCGCUGGGGCCGACAGCGGAUCGGCGGCCUUGGUUGGCCUUCAAAAGCUGACCAGGUUCCCCGAUAAUUUUACUUUGAAAAAAUUAGGGUGCUCAAAGCAGGCUUGUGCCUGGAUAUUGGUGCAUGGAAUAAUGGAAUAGGACCUCGGUUCUAUUUUGUUGGUUUUCGGAUCCCGAGGUAAUGAUUAAGAGGGACAGACGGGGGCAUUCGUAUGCGGCGCUAGAGGUGAAAUNNNNNNNNNNNNNNNUUGAAGGAAUUGACGGAAGCGCACCAUCAGGAGUGGAGCUUGCGGCUUAAUUUGACUCAACACGGGGAAACUUACCCGGCCCGGACACCGGAAGGAUUGACAGAUUAAUAGCUCUUUCUUGAUUCGGUGGAUAGUGGUGCAUGGCCGUUCUUAGUUCGUGGAGCGAUUUGUCUGGUUCAUUCCGAUAACGAACGAGACUACAUCCUACUAAAUAGACCCACGAUCCUUGGUAUCGUGAGCGGGUCUUCUUAGAGGGACGGGCGGCGUAUAGCCGCACGAAACGUAGCAAUAACAGGUCUGUGAUGCCCUUAGAUGUCCGGGGCCGCACGCGAGCUACACUGAAGGAAUCAGCAUGUGUCUACCCUAGCCCGAAAGGGCCGGGUAACCCUCUGAACCUCCUUCGUGCUUGGGAUAGGGGAUUGAAAUUAUUCCCCUUGAACGAGGAAUUCCUAGUAAGCGCGAGUCAUCAGCUCGCGUUGAUUACGUCCCUGCGCUUUGUACACACCGCCCGUCGCUGCUACCGAUUGAAUUAUUUAGUGAGAUCUUCGGACUGUUGUAGAGAGCGGCCUUGGCCACCCUCUGUGACGGAAAGAUGACCGAACUUGAUUAUUUAGAGGAAGCAAAAGUCGUAACAAGGUUGCC